GCAGUGCUCGCUUCGCAUAUAUUGAAAUUAGAAUGAUACAGAGAAGAUUAGCGUGGCCCCUGCGCAGGCUGACACACAAAUUUGUGAAGCGUUUCAUUUUUGG